AUCCCUUCUUGGCCUUUUGGCUAAGAUCAAGUGUAGUAUCCGUUCUUAUCAGUUUAAUAUCUGAUACGUCCUCUAUCCAAGGACAGUAUAUUGGAUGGAUUUUUGGAGCCUGGAGUUGGAAUAGGAGCUUGCUCUGUCCACUCUGUGCAUCGACCUGGUAUUGCAAUACCUCCAGGAAUGGUGCAAAUAAU